CGUAGGUGCGAGCGUUGUCCGGAUUAUUGGCGUAAGGGCUCGUAGGUGGUUGAUCGCGUCGGAAGUGUAAUCUUGGGCUUAACCCUGAGCGUGCUUUCGAUACGGGUUGACUUGAGGAAGGUAGGGAGAAUGGAAUUCCUGGUGGAGCGGUGGAAUGCGCAGAUAUCAGGAGGAACACCAGUGGCGAAGGCGGUUCUCUGGGCCUUUCCUGACGCUGAGGAGCGAAAGCGUGGGAGCGAACAGGCUU
rnacentral:rRNA from 1 species